GAUGAACGCUAGCGAUAGGCUUAACACAUGCAAGUCGAGGGGCAGCACGUCUUCGGAUGGUGGCGACCGGCGCACGGGUGCGUAACACGUAUGCAACCUACCCAUAACUUGGGGAUAGCUCGGAGAAAUUCGGAUUAAUACCCAAUGCAGCAUCUUAUCUGCAUGGAUAAUAUGUUAAAGAUUUAUUGGUUAUGGAUGGGCAUGCGCAGGAUUAGGUAGUUGGUAGAGGUAACGGCUCACCAAGCCUACGAUCCUUAGGGGAACUGAGAGGUUUAUCCCCCACACUGGUACUGAGACACGGACCAGACUCCUACGGGAGGCAGCAGUGAGGAAUAUUGGUCAAUGGACGAGAGUCUGAACCAGCCAAAUCGCGUGAAGGAUGACGGUAUUAUGUAUUGUAAACUUCUUUUUUAUGGGAAUAAAGUGCAGGACGUGUCCUGUUUUGUAUGUACCAUACGAAUAAGCAUCGGCUAACUCCGUGCCAGCAGCCGCGGUAAUACGGAGGAUGCGAGCGUUAUCCGGAUUUAUUGGGUUUAAAGGGUGCGUAGGUGGAAUGAUAAGUCAGCGGUGAAAUCCCGGAGCUCAACUUCGGCACUGCCGUUGAAACUGUCAUUCUUGAGUGUGAACGANGUAGGCGGAAUUCGUAGUGUAGCGGUGAAAUGCAUAGAUAUUACGAAGAACUCCGAUAGCGCAGGCAGCUUACCAGGCCACAACUGACACUGAAGCACGAAAGUGUGGGGUUAUCAAACAGGAAUUAGAUACCCUGGUAGUCCACACAGUAAACGAUGAAUACUAACUGUUUGCGAUAUACAGUAAGCGGUACAGCGAAAGCGUUAAGUAUUCCACCUGGGGAGUACGCCGGCAACGGUGAAACUCAAAGGAAUUGACGGGGGCCCGCACAAGCGGAGGAACAUGUGGUUUAAUUCGAUGAUACGCGAGGAACCUUACCCGGGCUCGAACGGCAGAUGAAUGACUUGGAAACAAGCAGUCCUUCGGGACAUCUGUCGAGGUGCUGCAUGGUUGUCGUCAGCUCGUGCCGUGAGGUGUCGGCUUAAGUGCCAUAACGAGCGCAACCCUUAUCUUUAGUUACCAUCAGGUUAAGCUGGGGACUCUAGAGAGACUGCCACCGUAAGGUGUGAGGAAGGUGGGGAUGACGUCAAAUCAGCACGGCCCUUACGUCCGGGGCGACACACGUGUUACAAUGGGGGGGACAGAAGGUUGCCACUUGGCGACAAGGCGCUAAUCCCUAAACCCUCUCCCAGUUCGGAUUGGAGUCUGCAACUCGACUCCAUGAAGCUGGAUUCGCUAGUAAUCGCGCAUCAGCCAUGGCGCGGUGAAUACGUUCCCGGGCCUUGUACACACCGCCCGUCAAGCCAUGGAAGCCGGGGGUACCUGAAGUGCGUAACCGCAAGGAUCGUCCUAGGGUAAAACUGGUAACUGGGGC
rnacentral:rRNA from 1 species